CACUGUAGAAUGAUCCUAAUUGUCCACUUUAGCUAAAUCCUUUCAGUCUCUGGGUUGGUCAAUUUACAUCGGUGGCUUGAAAAUUCCUCAAAUCCCAUUAGGGAAGAGUGGAAUAGCAGUCCAUUGCACCCUCAUUUAUUUUAAUAACCUGCCAAGCAGACAUGAAAAUGUUAAAGUUGGAGGCUAUAACACGACAGGAUCCUGGCUCAUCAGAGACACUUUUUAAUCUGGUUAAAAUACUUUCUUUCUUCCUUUCAUGUCUUCUCGGGUAAGCGGUGAACUAAUUGUCAAAUUACUAAUUUCUUUGGCAUUAUUAUCAAUACUGAGACAAGGGACGCUUGCGCUGUUGAGGGGAGAGAUUUAUUCCUUUCACAGUUUCUGCCAGCUGAUGGAAAAAUUACCCUGCAAUCAAGAGAGGAUUAAAUGCAUAUGAUUCUCGCUAGGUGUUUGGGUACUUUGUGAAGAGUGCUCACAAAAGGAAGGCCAGGCCCAGGCAGGCCUGAGUCUAUGCUCAAAGGUUCAGUAGGAGAGAGCAACAUGGUGUCUGCCGGAGGAUGCGAGACAGUUGAUUUCUGAAUGUAAAACUCUGCCUGCAAGAAAUGUGCUACAUAAGAGAUGAAGGACGGGGGAGCAGCCCAAUGGUCAAUGGCUGAUGCUUGCUGACCUGGAUUCAGCCUUCAGCAUCAGCAUCACAGUGGAAAUGAAUGCUGUCUUCCUCAGCGAGAGAACUUUGCUUGAGAUUCACGGGACCCCCGGCGGGUACAGGACUGGGGAAGCUCAGCUUUGGCCAAGGGCAGCGAUCGAUCCAUGAGGAGAAGGCUUAACCCUCAAGCUGAAACAGAUUUCUAGCAGUGAGAAAUCACCUCUGUGGACAACUCAAGCAUCAGGGGUAAAACAGACAUGAGGCCACCAUGAUAAUAAUACAGUUGGCACAAAGAACAGAUGCAUUAAAAAAAACAUGGCAUUAAAACAUUCUGAAUAAAACACCCUGCUCUUGUUUAAAACGAGGGGCUAUGCAAUAGACAAGAUCUUAAAUAUGUUUUGCUGUGUUGCUUGAAGAGGAGGCUUUGGUGUUCUUUCCCCAGACCUAGAAGGGGCUCAAUUUAUGGUGCACAUUUCUUCCAGCUGAGAAACUUAGUCCCAACUGCAAGGGAACAAGCCUGCCUUCCAUCCUCCUCUCUGUCUCUGUCAUCUCUGUCUCUCUGUCUGUCUCUUUGUGAACCCCCCCUCACUACUGUAGAGCCCAGAGUGACCUGGAGGCCACGAUAACAUGAUAACCUUCCUAUUUCACCCUUCUAAUUGUGGGACUAGAGGCAUAAGCCACCACAGCAAACCAGCACUCAACUCUUUGACACAUUGUUCUAUGUUCCCUUUGGGGCUGCAGUCCCAGUGAUGAGCUAUGGAGAUUUUUAAAGGCUUAGGCAUAGAACCUUUAUUCUUAUUUCAAAUCUAAUGGAAUAGAAAGCAGAGAAACAAUAUAUAUGUCACACACAAUAAACCUGUGUAGCAAUAAUAAGAAGAGGAGCUAGGAAAGGCCCAGACUGUGGUCAGAAAGAUAGCCGGCAUGGAAACAGGAGGGCCUGAGAUGGCAGAGAAAGCCAGACAUGAGUAUCCUCUGAGUGGCAUGUUUUCCUUAUACAGACAGAUACAGACAAUUCCUGACAUUUAUAAUUGAUGAAACCUUUGUGUGAUUCAAUACAUCAGACUGUUAAAACAGAGCACUUGGCAUUUCACCUCCAAGGGAUUCUGAAUGGACACUCGUGCAGCAAGUCUCCCUCUCAGCAGAGUGUUAUCCCUUCAAUCAGUCGAAGACAAACCAAGGUGAACACAGAACCUCAGCCCAGAGCAGCUGCAGAGCAUUCAAAGGCGGGGAAAAAGAGGGCUGAGGGAACUUGACACUAGAAAGAAAAUGGUCAAGUGUAAAAUGCCUUUUGCUGUCCAAGGACCAAUCCGAGUUAACUCCUUGGGAAGUGGUCAAGCUGUGAACUGCCUCUCAUAAGGUGAAUUGUCUGCUGCUGCCAAGAUUUAAUACUAGCCAAAGGAAUCUACAAAGAGUCCAGUCUCCAUGGCAAAUCUCUGAUGCUAUCUAAAAUAAAGUAAUGGGAUGAAAUGUUAGGUUUUUCUCAUCUCUAGCCGGAACAUUUUGGCAGUUGGAGGCUGCUGGAAUAAGGCCAAAUCAGUUUUCCUCAGGGAAGUGGCAACAGCUAGCUUGACCACACUCCAGUGGACAG